GGCUGGGUGUGACUCCAUGAAAUGAAUCAAAUAACUUCCCAUGUCCAAGCUUGUCAGAAGAUUCCACCCCAAGUGCCAAAAGGAGAAAAAUCCCUGUGAAUUCGACUGGGAAGUGGUUUCCCUCUACCACACAAAGCCAAUCUGGUCCUGUUGUUUCCUUUACUGAAGGAGAUGGUGGCAGCAACCUUCAUCGAGGGCAGAAGCCCCUACAGAUGCCUAUAGGGAUUCUACUGACACUAAUCUCUUGGCUGCAUAAGGUUCAUUCCAUGUGAAGUUGAAACUGCUGACUACAUCCACGAUGGAAGCAUCAUGUAAUACUCAGAAGCUAAACAUUUAAAUUUCCCCUAACACUGUUAUGGUUCCGUAGCUGUUAUUGUGAACAAGCCGUGAGCUGUCAGUGUUAGGCUUGCCAAACUGCGCAGAGGGCAAGGGUGAUGUGAAUGUGAAUUGAAGGCUAGAGAUUGUUUUCAGGAGGGUGAUGUGCUUUAAUAUUUUCAGCAAUGGAUGAUGCUCAUGGUUUUGUAGAAUAUGCCAUUUGAAGAUGAGCUCACUCGCCUUGACAACUUUUGUCAGAUUGUUAAGUCCCUUGCUCCUCUGUACUUAUAUUCCUGGAGCAACAGUCACUUGGCAUUGAUCUCCAAUGCCUCUUGCUCCCAUUGCCACCUGAGCAUGAGGAUCUAUUGUCCCUUGACUGUGUGUUCACAAACACCCUUUGCCACAAGCUCUCCCCUUCCCACCUCUUUCAGGAAGUCCACUGUCAGAAGACAUUUUGGUUUCUCUCUGACAUGUUCAGCUGUUUGGUAAAGAAGGUGCAAGUUACUUUAACUGGAAUUAGCAGACCUCCUGUCAAUAAACACAACCAGAGAGAAGUAAAGGUCACCUUCAUGUUGAAGUGCCUUUGUAGGCCACACAAUUCUUCUUCCUUCCAGAUGGGCAGGCCUGGUGAUCAUAAAGGUAGAGCCCCUUCUAUGAGACCUGAGAUGGCCAUAAAGGAAUAAAUGCCUAAUUAAUUAGUUUAAUUGGCCAUCUGGCUCUGUUUAACAGGCAGCUGUGCCCUGCCAUUCCCGUUUCUGGAAAAUGUUGUGGCAGUGUUAAGAAAUUAGGCUUCCCUCCCAAUCCCUUGUGCUGCCAAAGAGCAGGCUGAAGAGCUGCCAUUCACAAUGCCCUCCAUUGCAUAGGUGGAUAAAGAUUCUAAUAGUACAUGCCCCAAAAUCUAUCUCAUUAAGACUUGUGAAUGAUUCUCGAGAACAGACUGCAACACCAACCAGUACAAAAUGUUCACAAAGGAAAGAGAGGAUGAUUCUAAUCAUGAAAUGAUUUGAAUGUUCCAAAUGCACAUAGUCCUGGAAAGAUUUGAAAGGAUAUUAUGCAGUUACCGUAGUAAUAAAUACAUUGUAACUUUUAAAGUUGUCAGUAAUAU